UUGAAAGGGAAACGAUUGAAGUCAGUCGUACCGACGAGAAAUCAGCUUUUCGAAUGUGCAUUUGUGGGCGUAUGAGAUCUUCAUUGUUUGCAAUAUGUAUAUUUCUUUGGUGUACUUUUUCGUAUGGUAGGUCAAUGUCGGUUUUGAUCGCCAUAAAAUGAUCGGAGGAAUGUAGCUUCGGCUUCGGUUGAAGUGUUAUAGCCUUUGGUAAAUGUGGUGAUUAGGACCGAGGAUUGCAACGAAUACCUUUUAGGCUAUCCGUCUGACCUCUGAAAGUUACUUAGGUGCCGAAAGCUUGCUUAUGGUAUUUAAGACGACGGUCAAAAGGUUAGAACGUGAUUACAUUCGUUAAGGAUGUUGACGUA
rnacentral:rRNA from 1 species